AGAUGGACUGCUUGCCAUCUAUCCUAGCUCAGCAUGCCCAUGCCAGGUGCUGUCGCUGCCCUAGGCAUGCCGGGGAAGAGAGGAGGGCAGGUAUCUUCCGGGCGGCCUCUGGAGUCAAAUCAAGACUUGAGGUACCCUGGGGAGGCUUGUAGCCACAGCUUGGAAGCGGCAGCACCGAAGCACACACAUCGAGAACAUCUCAACGUCCAUGUC